rnacentral:rRNA from 1 species
GACGAACGCUGGCGGCGUGCUUAACACAUGCAAGUCGAACGGAAAGGCCCUGCUUUUGUGGGGUGCUCGAGUGGCGAACGGGUGAGUAACACGUGAGUAACCUGCCCUUGACUUUGGGAUAACUUCAGGAAACUGGGGCUAAUACCGGAUAGGAGCUCCUGCUGCAUGGUGGGGGUUGGAAAGUUUCGGCGGUUGGGGAUGGACUCGCGGCUUAUCAGCUUGUUGGUGGGGUAGUGGCUUACCAAGGCUUUGACGGGUAGCCGGCCUGAGAGGGUGACCGGCCACAUGAGGACUAAGAUAGGGCCCAGCCGCCAACGGGAGGCAGUGGGGGGAAGUAUGGCACAGUGGGCGGAAGCGUGAGACGGAAGCCCCGCGUGCGGAAUGACGGCCUUCGGGUGAAAAACCGCUGUCGCCUGUGACAAAGCGUUAUUGACGGUAAUGGGUAAAAAAGCACCGGCUAACUACGUG